ACAAUGGCGCAGGAACAUGAGCAGGAAAGUGUCUGGGUCUGAGUUUUGUUUUUUUUAAUUCAAUAUGUUCAGGGACAGGGACAUCGAAGACACACAAAAACACAGAACUAACACAGAGGACACCUGGGCUGAUAUGCAGUCACUUACACAAGAGACAGAGAGAAUAAAAACAAGACAAGACCACGAAACCAAGUCUACUUAACCAAAUCAAAAGAAUUAGAACAGUAUCACAUCUUAUGUUACAAGUAUUUCCUAUCGAUAUUCGCUGUGGAUCUGCUGGACGGGACAUUUCUAUUCCAAAAACGACCCUGGAAGUAUCGGCAAAGGACUAGUUUAUUGCAAACUGUGCAGAGGAGAGAUUGAUAUCACAGAAGCACCUCAACCCUCCGACACCACUGAAAUGAAACCUGUGACAGAAGAGAAGCUGCUCCGAGUCCAAACAAGACACAACCCAAACUCAAAUGACAGGCCUCAGGAAGAAAAGCAGUAAAUAGAGCAAAUAUUGUUAUGCGAUUAAUUGAUCUUAAUUCAUUAUAAAGCCAGUAAUGAAUGAGAUUAAUUGUUUUAAUCAAGUCCCAACCCUCAUUAUGUAUGAACCUGGUAUUUUCUUUGUUUAAUCAUUCACCUUGUACCAGACCAGUAGAAGUUCAAAACCAAAGAAUCACAACAGAAUAAAUAAACUGAACGGACUGACGAGGGAGGAAAUCUUGUAUUAAAGUUUACAGUAAUCCACUUUUAUAUCACUAACUACAUGUUUGACUAGAUACAACAAGGCCAAAAAGAGACAUGCAUGUGUGUCCACGUCAAAACAAAUACAGCUGCUUCUGAGGAAAAAAUAUCAAACGGACUGUAAAACAUGACAGAUUUCUGUUGUAUGUUAAUCUGAGGUGAGAGAAGUUUCAUUUUAGUCUUUUAUGUGUUUUAUGCCUCAGACUCUCCUUUUGGUAUUUAGUGGUGAUUUGGCCUGUGCUGUGCCUUUUGUGAUUACAAACAAUAACUGAACUGAAACUGUGACCAAGACAAUUUAAAUGUCACAAAAUUAAAAGUUGCUUGUGUGAAAAUAAAGUGCAUAAUGCUUCAGAUAA